GAACGCUGGCGGCGUGCUUAACACAUGCAAGUCGAACGAUGAACCACUUCGGUGGGGAUUAGUGGCGAACGGGUGAGUAACACGUGGGCAAUCUGCCCUUCACUCUGGGACAAGCCCUGGAAACGGGGUCUAAUACCGGAUAUCACUCCCGCAGGCAUCUGCGGGUGUCGAAAGCUCCGGCGGUGAAGGAUGAGCCCGCGGCCUAUCAGCUUGUUGGUGAGGUAAUGGCUCACCAAGGCGACGACGGGUAGCCGGCCUGAGAGGGCGACCGGCCACACUGGGACUGAGACACGGCCCAGACUCCUACGGGAGGCAGCAGUGGGGAAUAUUGCACAAUGGGCGAAAGCCUGAUGCAGCGACGCCGCGUGAGGGAUGACGGCCUUCGGGUUGUAAACCUCUUUCAGCAGGGAAGAAGCGAAAGUGACGGUACCUGCAGAAGAAGCGCCGGCUAACUACGUGCCAGCAGCCGCGGUAAUACGUAGGGCGCAAGCGUUGUCCGGAAUUAUUGGGCGUAAAGAGCUCGUAGGCGG
rnacentral:rRNA from 1 species